CGAGGCGUGCGAGCACAUGGAAUAAUGAUGGAGGAGCGCGAACCUGCUGCUUAUGGAAUCACACUUUGCAAUGGAAAUAUCCAUUCCUUCAGAACCAGAAGCUCUUCUGCAACCGCAGAUUACCUCCCUCCGAUCACCAUUGACAACGAAGGGGGAAUUCUUACGGAGCAAAACCAUUUUUAUUGUUGUUUCCAACUGGCUACUCGUGCACUUCUAAUUUUGGUUAAUUUGCAACAAGGCAGUGAUGCAGCGGAAGAUUGGACCUCUGAUGGACUGGUGUGUGUGAAAUUGGACCAUUCAAGACAAUCUUGGAGACAGCUACUGCGACCACCACCCCUCCACGGCCAAUCAGUCAGGCUAGAGCCAGAAUGUCUGAAGUCAUGGCUUCUCUCGUUGUCCUUUAUACUGUGGGCAUCCCUAUGCUUGAAGAGGAUUGUAAAUUAUGUAACAUCUGGAAUACAUCCACUAUUAAAUAAAUGGGCGGGGGGGAGUUUUGGGCACCACUCUAGUGUAUCAGUUAGUGUAAUGCUGUUAUAGCUUGGGGCGUUCCGGAGUUCAGAGUUCAUUUCCAGUGCUGUUCUGUAAGGAGUCUCUGUAUGUCCUCCCUGUGGAAUGUGUGGGGUUUCCCCCAGUGCUCUGACUUCCUCCCACAGUCCAAUGGCGUACUGGCUAGGUUAAUUAGUCAUUGUAAAUUGUACCAAGGUUGGGUUAGGAUGAAUUGGGGUAGUGGGUUGCUGGGGUGAUGUGUCGUAUCUCUAAAUAAAUAAAUUUGGCCAGCUCUAUCGUGGGCAUUAGCCUUUCCACUUGAGGAAAUCUUCAAAAGGUGAUGCCUCAGAAAGGCAGCAUCCAUCAUUAAGGCCCCUCAUCCCCAGGACAUGCCCUCUUUUUUCUUCUACUGCCAGGAAGGAGGUGUAUGUCUGAUCUGAGCUGGGACAGAGGUGCAGCCAGUGUCGACACUGGGGCAGUACUUGACUGUCUGUAUGUCCGUGGAACACCCUGUGUAAAAUGUAACCCGUUCCCUUGUGUUAGUUGAGUGCUUGUUGGCGAAUUGGCCUUUGCUCAGAUUGCAUUCUUGAGGAUGGGUUGUUUUCACGACAAGCGGAAAGACCGGGGUGUGACUGGGUGUUGCUGUGGUUUUGGGCACUUCCCUCUUACCUCUGGGGGAUGAGUUCAGAUUGUGCAGAUCGCUGUUUACAGUCAGGUUGAGACACUGAAUCAGACUCACUAUUUCCACAUUCUCACUGUUUGAUAUUACAGACUUCAGAAGCUGGUUUCACAUACUGUGGAUUACUCAGAUCAGAACUGACCAGGAUGCUGCCUGGUUUACUGGGCAUGUGCUAUAAUGAGAGAUUGGACAGACUUGGGUUGUUUUCUCUCGAGCGACAAAGGCUGAGGGAAGAUCUGAUAGAGGUUUAUAAAAUUAUGAGAGCCAUAGAUAGAUUUUUCCCAGGGUUAAAAUGCCUAAUACCAGGGGAGAUGAAUUUAAAGUGAGAGGGAUAAUUUUAAAAGCGAUGUGAGAGGCAUAUAGUGAUGGGUGCCUGGAAUACACUUCCUGGGGUGGAGGUAGGGGCAGAUACAUUAGGGGCAUUUAAGAGCUGUUUAGAUAGGCACAUGGAUGUGAGGGAAAUAGAAGGAUAUGGGCAUUGUGUAGGCAGAAGGGAAUAGUUUAGUUGGCCAUUUUACUUAAUUAAUUUGGCACAACACUGUGGGUGAAGGACCUGUUCCUGUGCUGUACUGUACUGUUCUCUGUUCCAUGGACUAGAAGCUGCCUCAGGAACUUAUGUCAUCCAUCACUGUAUUCCCUCCUGUACAAAGCUUAGUUUGCAAUGUUGACCCCAUCCCUUCCAACAUGCACUUUCGGCCUUUUCUCUUUCCCCUUCCAUAGGCCAUGCUAAGAUUUGAAUUUGAGUUUCGGGAUUGUUAGUCCAUACCUCAGGAUUACCAUCCUACUAAUUUAAUCCUAUUGCCAGCAUUUACCCACGUGCAGAACAUUUUGGGAGAAUGAGUGCAGGUUGCAGACUCUCUAAAUAUUACCUGUAUCUGUAGUCAGGGAGUUGUUAGAUUUAUGGUUGCAGCCCAUUAAUGGUGGGGGCUUUGGGGUGGUUCUGCUAGUAAUAGACCUGCCUUCUUGUCUACUGUUUGUGUAGACUGAAUUCAAAUGGGACAAACUGCAAAUCGGGAUCAACUUUAUUAGCCAUAUACAUUCACAUGUUUAGGAAUUUGCUGUGGUGUAUAGCAAGCCAGGCAGCAAAAAAGCAACAUUCAGCAAUGACAAAGAAUUGUAUAGAAAUAAAGUACAAAGUACAGACUCUGAAUAAAAUGCGCAUAAGUACAUAAAUACCAGCCUGACUUUCCAGUGCUAUGGUGGGUGGUAAUAGAUACAGGGAGGUGGGAAGACUAACUAGAAUGAUUGAUCAGAUUAACUGCCCAGGGAAAGAAACUUUUAAGGUGACAUGGCCUGGAUGCUGGGGGAAUGAAAAGACUUUUACCCAGUCUGGGACUUGAUGUGCUUCUAAAUGCAGAGUCAUAUGGCUGCCCCUUAACCUUUCCCCGAAAAGGCCUGCCAGAUUUCUCCAAUCACAGGCAAGGAUGAAGGAUGGGUAAUAAAUGCCACCGUCCAAAGCAAGGAUCAAGGAUCAUGGAGGCUCAAGUAUGAAUGUUAUUCACUAUUAGAUAUUUACAUAUAUUAGACCAUAAGACAUUGGAGAAAAAUUAAGCCAUUCAGCCCAUCGAGUCUAUUCCGCCAUUCCAUCAUGGCUGAUUCCAGAUCCCACUCAACCCCAUACACCUGCCUUCUUACCAUAUCCUUUGAUGCCCUGACCGAUCAGGAAAUGAUCAACUUCUGCCUUAAAUAUACCCACGGACUUGGCCUCCACCACAGUCUGUGGCAGAGCAUUCCACAGAUUCACAGAAAAAAAUUCCUCCUUACCUCCAUUCUAAAGAGUUGCCCCUCAGUUUUGAAGCUGUACCUGUUAAUUCUGGAUACCCCCACGGUAGGAAAGAUCCUCUCCACUACAAUAUUAGGAUAUUCUGGUGUAUUGGAGUGAUAAGCAACCAAAAAAAAACUACAAUCAACAGUGAUAACAAAGACUUAAUUAUAUAAAACUAAGUUCAAUGUUAAAGCCAGGAAAUGCCUAAAUACCAGCACGUAUUUACUAUGUAAACAGCACUAUAAAAGUGUCAGAGCCAUAGAAACAGGCAUUUCGGCCCAUGUAGUCUGUGUUGAAACUUUUACACUGUCUACUCCCAUCGACCUGCGCUGGACCAUAGCUCUUCAUACCCCUACCACCCAUGUAGUCAAGAGUGACAGUAAAAACGUUAAUACCCCAAAGCUUCCCCCCAUGCACCAAGAGGCAGCAAAGUAGUGACCCUCCCCUCCCCCACUUACUUCAGCAAAAAGAGCAUCAGCACCUCCCACCCACAAGCAAGCAAUAGCAAAGCCCCCAAGGGAGGCUGUGAUCUGCAGUACAGCAAAAACCCGGCAAUUCAACUUAGAGAGGUGUUCCCCUUUCACAGCGAGAAGGGAGUCACAAAACAACUCACUGAUUUGUGGUGAUAAAGUCUGCUGCGUCGUUUAUUUUUCCAAGUACUCCCACCAAAUAGAGAGAGCACAUGAUUUGCCGAGUACAGAGCCCUUGAUGGCCCAUUUCCUGCUGUUCUCGAUGUUCCAGUUUCUCCCGCAACGCUUCACUCAGUGGCAUCGACUUAGAAACUGUUCGUCCCCAGGGCUGCGGAGCCCAAAGACGGUUCAUCUUCUGGGCCGCGUCUUUCGGAUAUCAAAAAAUGAGCCCCUGGGAGCGGGUCCCACCAAUAUAAAGAACUGAAGUCUUGAGCGUAGCUCUGGGUCAUUUCUCCGACAGAACCCCAUCCACCUCGGAAAGGAAAACAAGAAGCAUCAAAAGAAGAAAUUAAGCUGUUUCCGCAGCUGAGCUCGAAGGAAUCGCUGUUAAGCACCAUCAUACCUAAGCAAACUUCUCUUAAAUGUUGAAAUCAAGCUUGCAUGCACCACGUGCACUGGCAGCUCAUUCCGUACACUCACCACCCUCUGAGUGAAGAAGUUUCCCCUUGUUCCCUUAAACUUUUACCUUUCACCCUUAACCAAUGGCCCCUAGUUGUGGUCCCAUCCAACCUCAGUGGAAAAAGCCUGCUUGCAUUUACCCUAUCUAUACCCCACAUAAUUUUGUGUAACUUUAUCAAAUCUCCUUUCGGUCUUCUACUUUCCAAAGAAUAAAGUCCUAAUCUAUUCAUUUUUUCCUUACCAUCCUUGUUAAUUUUCUCCAUACUCUUCCAACAUUAUUUACAUCUUUCCUGUAGGUAAGUGACCACAAUUGCACACAGUACUCCACAUUAGGCCUCACCAACAUGUUAUACAAUUUCAACAUAACAUCCUUUCUCCUGUACUCAGUGCAUUGAUUUAUGAAAGCCAGUGUGCCAGAAGUUUUCUUUACGACCUAUCUACCUAUGAUGCCACUUUCAAUGAAUUCUGGAGCUAUAUUCCUGGAUCUCUUUGCUCUAUAGCAUUCCUCAGUGCAAUACUGUUCACUGUGCAAGACCUACUGUGGUUGGUUCUACUGAGGUGCAUCACGUUGCACUUGUCUGCAAUAAAUUUCAUUUAUCAUUUUUCAGCCCAUUUUUCCAGCUGGUCCAGAUCCCUCUGCAAGCUUUGAUAGCUGUUCUCAAUGUCCCCAAUCUUGGUGUCAUCUGUGAAGUGCUGAUCCAGUUAACCAUAUUAACAUCCAAAUCGGUGAUAUAGAUGACAAACAACAAUGGACACAGCACCACUUCCUGCGGUACUUCACAAUCACAGGUCUCCAGUCAGAGAGGCAACCGUCUACCAGUCUCUGGCUUCUCCCACAAAGUGGUUUAAAGUGUUUACAAGGCAGUGAUAGGGGUAAUAGAUGGAGGGAGCGGGUAGGGGGUCUAACUGGAUUGGUUGAUCAGAUGAACUGCCUGGAGGAAGAAAUUUUUAAGUUGGCAUGAAGGUUUUUUUUUGUUUUAAUACCCCCCUAGAAGGGAGCUUUCGGAAAAGGCCAUUUGCAGGAUAGGAAGAGUCUACAAUAUUUCUCUGCUUCUUUGACCUGGACACAUACAAGUACCAGAGCCAAUAGCUUUUCACUUAAAUACUUCAAGGAGCAAACAGGACUGUGAUGCUGAGGAUUUACUAAUACAUAUCUGGGGUUUCUUGCUGACUCUCCAUUUAACUAACUGGUUUUAAUAAGUACAGAGAUUAGCAGGACCACACCAUAAUAAUGCUGUGAAAAUCUUAGAUUACUGAAUCUCCUGCCAAACGUACCCUGCUGAUCACUGGAAAACAAACAGCCGAAACCCUACUACUGAUGAAUAAACUGAAGCUGUUUUGGCACAGAAUGGCACUAACAGCUGAAUGAACACUGCAGAUGUUAAAAAAGUGUGUGUGUGUGCGUGCGCGUGCGCACGCGUGCACAUACGCACAUAUAAAACACCCUGUAAAAUCCUCUCUAUUAUGUUGCUUUAUUAACAUUCAAAUAGGAAAGGGAAAGGAAAUAUUCAAGUCAGGCUGGUAGUUUAGCCCUUGGGGAACCAUGUCAGCAAGUGACACAAUUAUCAGAGGUUCUGACAACAUUGAGAUCUGAUGAAGACCGGACUACUUUACACGGCACAGUAGUGUAGCAGUAAGCGCAAUCACUUUACAGUUUCAAAGACAUGAUUAGGGUUAGUUCAAAGUAAAUUAUCAAAGUAUGGAUGUUUCAAAGGUUUCAAAGGUACAUUCAAUGUCAGAGAAAUGUAUACAAUAUGCAUCCUGAAAUGCUUUUCCUUCGCAACCUUCCACGAAAGCAGAGGAGUGCCCCAAAGAAUGAACGACAGUUAAAUGUUAGAACCCCAAAGUCCCACCCCAGCUCUCCCCUCCCGUGCGUAAGUGGCAGCAAGCAAUGAUCCCCCCUACCCCCAGGGGCAAAAUAAAAGCAUUGGCACCCACCACCGAGCACGUGAGCAAAGCAACAGCAAAGACACAGACUUGCAGUACUACAAAGACUACUCAUUUACCCGGUAUUUGACAACCCACAGGCUCUCUCUCUCCCUAAUAAGGGGAAAAAAAGGUGUCUCCAUUUCACAGCGAGGAGGGGGAGAAACAUAACAAAUGACUCGCUGGUUUAUGAUGUUAAAAUUCCGUUGCGUCACUUUUUCCGAGCUCUGGCCCAAAGAUCUCGGAUCUCUGGGCACACAGCCUUAGAUCUUCCAUCUCCCACAACGCACCGAUCUGCCUGGACACCGACAUUCUCCAAAGCCAUGAGAUCCCGGAACUCCGAAGGCGAGCUGAGCUCUUGGGCCGAGCUCUCAGCCAAUCGUGAAACCCCCAAGAGCUGGUCCCAUUCCCACAAAGAACCAUAGUCAGUGUGUAACUCCAGGUCAGAGUCUUCAAAAGAACCCUGAAAGGGAAAAAUAGAGAUAUUAAAGAUGGAAAUGGAGCUGUUUCCGAAGGUGCAAGCAAAGGAGUCGCCGUUGGGCGGCAUUAAUCCUCCUAAGCUCCUCCUCCUCCUGUAAAAUCAUAUAUACAACCUUGAGAUGCAUUUUCUUACAGGUAAAAACAGGAAAACAAAUCCAUGAUAAAGCACACAAAACAAAAACGGACAAAUAACCAAUGCGCAGAAGAGGACAAAUUGUGCAAAUAAUAAAAGAGAGUAAACCAAGUAAUACUGUACUGAUUUUUUGAGCAGCAGAGUUCCUGAGAGCAAGUUCACAGCUAUGGAGCCGAUUGAGCAAUAAGAUGUCCACCUUACAGUAUUCCAAGAAGAUCAGAACAUCUACAUGACCUCAUCAAACAGACUGUAACACAUGAGCUUUCAUGAGAAGAUGUACCAGGAUGCUGUCUGGACUUAGAAGGUCGACUGAGCUGGGAUUUUUCAGAGUGAAGGAGGAUGAGACGUGACUUGAUAGAGAUGCUGCCUGACUGCUGAGAUCCUCCAGCAUUUUGUGUGUGUUACUGCAGACCACUGGUUCACAAACUUUUUUCGGUUACCACCCCCUUGACUCCCAGGCCACAACUUCAGGACUCCCCUCCUGCCAAAGGAUUUUGGCUCAAAACGUCAACUGUGCUUUUUUCAAUGGAUGCUGCCUGGCCUGCUGAGUUCCUCCUGCAUUUUAUGGUUCUUUUGAAGACCCUGACCUGGAUUUCCACACUGACUUCGGUUCUUUGCGGGAAUGGGACCCGCUCUCGGGGUCUCAUGACUGGCCGUUAUUUGAUAUACCAAGGAUGUGGCCUAGAAGGUUAGCUCGUCUUCGGAGUUUUGGAAUUUUGUGGUUCUGGAGGCGGGCGGACUCGAGGUCAGUGCCUCUGCAGGAAAUCGGUGUCUCGUGGGAGAUGGAAGAUCUUUGACUGUCUGCCUAGAGACCCGAGAUCUUUGGGCACAGAGCUCAGAAAAAGCGACGCAACAGACUUUUAACAUUAGCUGUUUGAUGCUUGUAUUGGGACAGAGUGGCAAGUCUCCCUUCAGACCCUGAAGUGCUUCCUGUGACUCAGACUAAGAGAAAACCCAGUGAGUUCCUCUUUUCUUCAUUCAAGUCAUGAAAGUCACAAGGGGCCAUGCAGAAUUCUGAUUUGAUGGAGACAGACGUGAGAAGCACGGAGGAACGUCUGGAGAAACUUCUGAAAUGCCCGGUUCGCUGCUGCUGCUAAUGUGCGAUCGAGAAUCUCCUGAGGGAAGGCCCCAAAUCCUCGGCUUUGCCUGUUGCUGGCGGCCGGGGCUGGGGUCGAAGCGCUCGGCAGAGACGGUGCUCGGGGUCGGAGGGCUGGUCGGAGGCUCGAAGUUUUCGGACGGACUCAGAGUCGGACUGUGGUCAGGUGCUUCCAGGAUGCUGCAUCAGCAAGUGUGCGGCGCUGCAAGCUCAUGGCAGGGAGAGUGUUAUUCCUUCUCCCAUCUGCGUGAGAUGUGGGACUUUCGAGAGACUUUGAACUUUUUUUUACCAUGCCCAUGGCCUGUUCUUCAUCAAGUUACGGUAUUGCUUGCACUGUUGUAACUAUAUGUUAUAAUUGUGUGGUUUUUGUCAGUUUUUCAGUCUUGGUCUGUCUUGUGUUUCUAUGAUAUCACACUGGAGGAGCAUUGUAUCAUUUCUUAAUGCAUGCAUUACUAAAUGACAAUAAAAGAGGACUGCAUGUCCUCAUAAGCUAAUCUAAUCUAAAUAGCAGUGAGCUCAUGUUCAUGGGUUCAAUAUCUAUUUAGAAAUCGGAUAGCAGAGGAGAAGAAGCUGUUCCUGAAUUGCUGAGUGUGUGCCUUCAGGCUCCUGUACCUCCUACCUGACAGUAACAGAGAAGAGGGCAUACCCUGCGUGAUGGGGGUCAUUAAUGAUGAAUGCUGCUUUUCUGAGGCACCACUCCUUGAAAAUAUCCUGGAAACUACAUUACGGAGGCUAGUACCCAUGAUGGAGCUGACUAAUUUUACAAUUUUUUGCAGCUUAAUUCAGCCCUGUAUAGUAAUACACACCCCACCCCAUAUAGACUGUGAUGUUUCCAGUUCGAAUGCUUUCCCUGGUAUAUCUGUAGAUUUUUAAAAAAUAAAAUAAACUUUAUUGACAUUUAAUAAAAUCACGGUGUAGGAAUAAUCUACAAUGCCUUUUCAUUUUUUACAUUAAUCGUCAAUGCUUUCAGUAGUGUUCUAUUACAUUGCUACACACCAGUCGGACUACUACUAUGCAUCUGGAGUGGUACAUUGAGGAGCUUCCUUCCCAACCUGGCCCCUCCCUCUCCCACUCCCUCACCAGUAGCAGAUGAACUCUAUACUGUGGUCCUUCCCCACCAAGCCCUGUGGUGGCUACACCAAGCUUCAGAGUUUCCCUUAGCACGUACUCCUGAGUCCCGGAACAGGCCAUUUGGCAGCACGAGGAAAUGAUACGUAGUUAACAGGAAGGGGCUGUGAAGAAUCCAA